rnacentral:rRNA from 1 species
UACGAAGGAUGCAAGCGUUAUCCGGAUUCACUGGGUUUAAAGGGUGUGCAGGUGGGGUAAUAAGUCAGUGGUGAAAGCCCCCGACUCAAUCGGGGAACUGCCAUAGAUACUGUUAUUCUUGAGUGUGGUUGAGGCGGAUGGAAUAUGACAUGUAGCGGUGAAAUGCUUAGAUAUGUCAUAGAACACCGAUCGCGAAGGCAGUCCGCCAAACCAUUACUGACACUGAAACACGGAAGUGCGGGGAUCAAACAGG